GGGGCGGUAGCUCAGUGGUAGAGCGUGGGAUUGCAGUCUGCAAUUAUCCUAAGGCCCCGUGUUCGACCCACGGUCGCCCCU